rnacentral:rRNA from 1 species
UACGUAGGGGGCAAGCGUUGUCCGGAAUUAUUGGGCGUAAAGAGCGUGUAGGCGGUCCGGUAAGUCGGCUGUGAAAGUCCAGGGCUCAACCCUCGAAUGCCGGUGGAUACUGUCGGGCUAGAGUGCGGAAGAGGCGAGUGGAAUUCCUGGUGUAGCGGUGAAAUGCGCAGAUAUCAGGAGGAACACCGAUUGCGAAGGCAGCUCGCUGGGACGUAACUGACGCUGAGACGCGAAAGCGUGGGGAGCGAACAGG